rnacentral:rRNA from 1 species
UACGGAGGGUGCAAGCGUUGCUCGGAAUUAUUGGGCGUAAAGGGUAGGUAGGUGGUCUCAUUUGUCUGAGGUGAAAGCCCAGGGCUUAACCCUGGAAGUGCCUCAGAAACGGUGAGACUCGAGUACUGGAGAGGGUCGUGGAAUUCCCGGUGUAGCGGUGAAAUGCGUAGAGAUCGGGAGGAACACCGGUGGCGAAGGCGGCGAUCUGGGUCGAUACUGACGCUGAGGUGCGAAAGCGUGGGGAGCAAACAGG